rnacentral:rRNA from 1 species
GACGAACGCUGGCGGCGUGCUUAACACAUGCAAGUCGAACGGAAAGGCCCUGCUUUUGUGGGGUGCUCGAGUGGCGAACGGGUGAGUAACACGUGAGUAACCUGCCCUUGACUUUGGGAUAACUUCAGGAAACUGGGGCUAAUACCGGAUAUGAGCUCCUGCUGCAUGGUGGGGGUUGGAAAGUUUCGGCGGUUGGGGAUGGACUCGCGGCUUAUCAGCUUGUUGGCGGGGUAGUGGCUUACCAAGGCGUUGACGGGUAGCCGGCCUGAGAGGGUGACCGGCCACAUUGGGACUGAGAGACGGCCCAGACUCCUACGGGAGGCAGCAGUGGGGAAUAUUGCACAAUGGGCGGAAGCCUGAUGCAGCAACGCCGCGUGCGGGAUGACGGCCUUCGGGUUGUAAACCGCUUUCGCCUGUGACGAAGCGUGAGUGACGGUAAUGUGUAAAGAAGCACCGGCUAACUACGUG